GUCUGCUGUCAUUCGACGCUAAUGCCGUACAGCUACCGACGAAAUAUGAUCGGCAGUUUUUCAUUGGUUCGUUUCAAAAUUAUACUUGCAUAAAUUUGCUUAGCUAAUUUCGAGACGAGUAUACCGGUUUUACCGAUUACAUAAAGUUUCUGGGUGCUGUUAGGAAAGACAUUACCACACAAAAGAGCAUUUAAUUUUUUGGGAUGAAUAAAUUUGGUAGAAUUUACAAAUCUGGCAUAUUUUUUUGCGAGUUUAUAUUUCGAUUUCGUUGAAUUGUUUUGCUUGACCUUGUCUAUUGUCUAUUGACCUUGUUUACAUAAUAUAAGUUUUAUUUAAAGUAACGCACCUGAUUGGAUAAUAAAAUUAGAAAGCCAUUAAAGUGCUGAAGUGCACAAUAUUAUAUCUAUUUAUACGACUACGUCACUGUACAGCAUUAGUGACAAAUGGUCGCAGACUGUAAUCCUUCCACCACGGGGGGGAAGGGACAGUCUGUGCGCAGACUAGU